rnacentral:misc_RNA from 1 species
GAAAUGCGAUAAGUAGUGUGAAUUGCAGAAUUCAGUGAAUCAUCGAAUCUUUGAACGCACAUUGCGCCCCUUGGUAUCCCGAGGGGCAUGCCUGUUCGAGCGUCAUUUCACCACUCAAGCCUGGCUUGGUGUUGGGCGACGUCCCCUUUGGGGACGCGCCUCGAAACGCUCGGCGGCGUGGCACCGGCUUUAAGCGUAGCAGAAUCUUUCGCUUUGGAAGUCGGGGCCCCGUUUGCCGGAAGACCUACUCGCAAGGUUGACCUCGGAUCAGGCGGGGCUACCCGCUGAGUUUAA